rnacentral:lncRNA from 1 species
AAAAAAAAGCGCUUUCUAUCUCUUUAAUAAUUUUUCUCUUCCUUCUCCAGAGUUCUUCCAACAAAAGGUCAAGCUCAAUUUCCAUUUCCAUGGGUAACUAACAAUUCCUUUCUGUCCUGCUUCUUUUGUUUUUUUUUUUUGCUUAUUACUUCAAAAUGCUGGCAAAAUUUUAAGUAUUUUUGUGUGUUUUUAUUUAAUCAUUUUCUUGUUAAUUUCGUUGCUUCAUGAUUUUCACUGCUUUUCAUUAUUAUGUUGAAAUCAUGUUCUGUUAGGGAAAAUUUCCUUUGAUUUCAAAUUAGUUAUUAGUACUAGAAUUGUAAUUUGUAUGGUGUAAAUUUUGUUAGGAAUCAGUUAUCAUGUUUAUACUUUGGCCAUGCAUGAAAGUGUUUAUUUUGUUGCAUGUUCAUGAAAUUGAGUGUAAGAAAUGAAGUUAUGUGGAGAGGGAGCGAGGGAGAUUGUAUGAUACUACCUUGGACUAGUUAAUAUUACCUUCGGUCCUUAAUAUACGAGAAAAUUUACUUUUAGAUACAUCAAUUAACUAAUGUAUCUAGUCUAUAUUAUAGGUCAGAUAUUCAAUGUAUCUAAAAAGUAAGUUUUCUCUUAUAUUCAGAACUAGAGAGAGUAGUAAUUUAUUUUGAGAAAUGUCAAGAAAAUGAGAAGAAUUCCUGUUGAAUUUGAUUUGAUUUAUUUUCUAUUUCUAUUUUUUAUUCAACUUAAUCCGGGUGAAUGGUAAAGAUGAUUGGUAUGUUUUUGAAAUUUUGGUGCUUUUCCACAGACCAGGCUUCUAAAUCCUGCUUUUGGUUUCAGCUUUAGUUUGGUGAAUUGAGGUGAAAAGUAAAUUAUAUCAUAAGUUUGUUUUCAACUCGGCAUGCAUGAUGAUUUGUGAUCUAUAUCAGCUAUUAGAGUCAUCCAUACAAUUUU